AAGCCCCAGUAAACGGCGGCCGUAACUAUAACGGUCCUAAGGUAGCGAAAUUCCUUGUCGGGUAAGUUCCGACCCGCACGAAAGGCGUAAUGAUUUGGGCACUGUCUCAACGAUACACCCGGUGAAAUUGAAAUACCAGUGAAGAUGCUGGUUACCUGCGCCAGGACGGAAAGACCCCAUGGAGCUUUACUCCAGCUUGAUACUGGGAUUCGGUACUGCAUGUACAGGAUAGGUGGGAGACUGAGAAACUUGGACGCCAGUCUGAGAUGAGUCGCUGUUGGGAUACCACCCCUGCGGUAUUGGAUUUCUAACCUGCAGCCGUGAUCCGGCUGGGGGACAAUGUCAGGCGGGGAGUUUGACUGGGGCGGUCGCCUCCGAAAGGGUAUCGGAGGCGCUCAAAGGUUCCCUCAGAAUGGACGGAAACCAUUCGAAGAGUGCAAAGGCAGAAGGGAGCUUGACUGCGACACCGACGGGUGGAGCAGGUACGAAAGUAGGACUUAGUGAUCCGGUGGUAUGAAAGUGGGAUUGCCAUCGCUCAACGGAUAAAAGCUACCCUGGGGAUAACAGGCUUAUCACUCCCAAGAGUUCACAUCGACGGAGUGGUUUGGCACCUCGAUGUCGGCUCAUCGCAUCCUGGAGCUGUAGCAGGUUCCAAGGGUUGGGCUGUUCGCCCAUUAAAGCGGUACGCGAGCUGGGUUCAGAACGUCGUGAGACAGUUCGGUCCCUAUCCGGCGUGGGCGUAGGAUAUUUGAGAGGAGCUGUCCUUAGUACGAGAGGACCGGGAUGGACUGACCUCUGGUGUACCGGUUGAACCGCCAGGUUCACGGCCGGGUAGCCAAGUCGGGAAGGGAUAAACGCUGAAGGCAUCUAAGCGUGAAGCCCCCCUCAAGAUGAGAUAUCCCAUUCGAAAGAAGUAAGACCCCUUGAAGACGACGAGGUAGAUAGGGCAGGGGUGGAAGUGCCGUAAGGCAUGGAGCUGACUGUUACUAAUCGGUCGAGGGCUUGACCUA
rnacentral:rRNA from 1 species